CGGCCUAGCUCAAUUGGUAGAGCAACUGACUUGUAAUCAGUAGGUUGGGGGUUCAAGUCCUCUGGCCGGCACCA
rnacentral:tRNA from 1 species